rnacentral:rRNA from 1 species
AAGGAGGCUUUAAAAAGGAUGAAAGGAGGCAAGGCGAUGGGCCCUGAUUGUAUCCCCAUUGAGGUGUGGAAAGGUCUCGGGGACAUAGCGAUAGUAUGGCUAACCAAGCUUUUCAACCUCAUUUUUCGGGCAAACAAGAUGCCAGAAGAAUGGAGACGGAGUAUAUUAGUACCAAUCUUCAAGAACAAGAGGGAUGUUCAGAGUUGUACUAAUUACCGUGGAAUUAAGCUGAUGAGCCAUACAAUGAAGCUAUGGGAGAGAGUCAUUGAGCACCGCUUAAGAAGAAUGACAAGCGUGACCAAAAAUCAGUUUGGUUUCAUGCCUGGGAGGUCGACCAUGGAAGCCAUUUUCUUGGUACGACAACUUAUGGAGAGAUAUAGGGAGCAUAAGAAGGACUUGCAUAUGGUGUUCAUUGACUUGGAGAAGGCCUAUGAUAAGAUACCGCGGAAUGUCAUGUGGUGGGCCUUGGAGAAACACAAAGUCCCAGCAAAGUACAUUACCCUCAUCAAGGACAUGUACAAUAAUGUUGUGACAAGUGUUCGAACAAGUGAUGUCGACACCGAUGACUUCCCGAUUAAGAUAGGACUGCAUCAGGGGUCAGCUUUGAGCCCUUAUCUUUUUGCAUUGGUGAUGGAUGAGGUCACAAGGGGUAUACAAGGAGAUAUCCCAUGGUGUAUGCUCUUUGCGGAUGAUGUGGUGCUAGUUGACGAUAGUCGGACGGGGAUAAAUAGGAAGUUAGAGUUAUGGAGACAAACCUUGGAAUCGGAAGGGUUUAGGCUUAGUAGAACUAAAACCGAGUACAUGAUGUGCGGUUUCAGUACUACUAGCUGUGAGGAGGAGGAGGUUAGCCUUGAUGGCCAGGUGGUACCUCGGAAGGACACCUUUCGGUAUUUGGGGUCAAUGUUGCAGGAGGAUGGG